rnacentral:rRNA from 1 species
GAUCCUGGCUCGGGAUGAACGCUAGCUACAGGCUUAACACAUGCAAGUCGAGGGGCAGCAUGGUCUUAGCUUGCUAAGACUGAUGGCGACCGGCGCACGGGUGAGUAACACGUAUCCAACCUGCCGUCUACUCUUGGACAGCCUUCUGAAAGGAAGAUUAAUACAAGAUGGCAUCAUGAGUCCGCAUGUUUACAUGAUUAAAGGUAUUCCGGUAGACGAUGGGGAUGCG